rnacentral:rRNA from 1 species
CAAAUCUGGUUGAUCCUGCCAGAGGCGACCGCUAUUGGAGUUCGAUUAAGCCAUGCGAGUCGAGAGUCUUAGGGACUCGGCAUACUGCUCAGUAACACGUGGAUAACCUGCCCUGUACUGGAGAAUAACCUCGGGAAACUGAGAAUAAUACUCCAUAGACCACAAUGCCUGGAACGGUUUGUGGUUCAAAGCUCCGGCGGUACAGGAUGGGUCUGCGGCGUAUCAGGUUGUAGGGGGUGUAAAGGACCUCCUAGCCAUUGACGCGUACGGGUUGUGGGAGCAAUAGCCCGGAGAUGGAUUCUGAGACACGAAUCCAGACCCUACGGGGUGCAGCAGGCGCGAAAACUUCACACUGCAGGAAACUGUGAUGAGGGAACUCCAAGUGACUACACAUUUGUGUAGCUCUUUUCUUAACUAUUAAUCGGUUUUGGAAUAAGGGCUGGGAAAGACCGGUGCCAGCCGCCGCGGUAAUACCGGCAGCUCAAGUGGUCGUCGCUUUUAUUGGGCCUAAAACGUCCGUAGCCUGUUUGGUAAAUCUGUGGGUAAAUCAACCAGCUUAACUGGUUGAAUUCUGCAGAGACUGCCAGACUAGGGACCGGGAGAGGUGUGGGGUACUCUAGGGGUAGGGGUAAAAUCCUGUCAUCCUUAGAGGACCACCAGUUGCGAAGGCGCCACACUGGAACGGAUCCGACGGUCAGGGACGAAGCCUAGGGGCACGAACCGGAUUAGAUACCCGGGUAGUCCUAGGUGUAAACGCUGUGAACUUGGUGUCGGGAGUCCGCAAUGGGCCCCCGGUGCCGGAGUGAAGAUGUUAAGUUCACUGCCUGGG